GAUGAACGCUGGCGGCGUGCCUAAUACAUGCAAGUCGAGCGAACAGACGAGGAGCUUGCUCCUCUGACGUUAGAGGCGGAAGGGUGAGUAACACGAGGAUAACCUACCUAUAAGACUGGGAUAACUUAGGGAAACCGGAGCUAAUACCGGAUAAUAUCUUGAACCGCAUGGUUCAAUAGUGAAAGACGGUUUUGAUGUACCUUAUAGAUGGAUCCGCGCCGCAUUAGCUAGUUGGUAAGGUAACGGCUUACCAAGGCAACGUUGCGUAGCCGACCUGCGAGGGUGAUCGGCCACAAUGGAACUAAGACACGGUCUAGACCCCUACGGGAGGCAGCAGUAGGGAAGCUUGCGGAAUGGGCGAAAGCCGGACGGAGCAACGCCGCGUGAGUGAGGAAGGUCUUCGGAUCGUAAAACUCUGUUAGUAGGGAAGAACAAAUGUGUAAGUAACUAUGCUCGUCUUGACGGUACUUAAUAAGAAAGCCACGGCUAACUACGU
rnacentral:rRNA from 1 species